UACGAAGGGGGCUAGCGUUGCUCGGAAUCACUGGGCGUAAAGCGCACGUAGGCGGAUUGCUAAGUCAGGGGUGAAAUCCUGGAGCUCAACUCCAGAACUGCCUUUGAUACUGGCAAUCUUGAGUCCGGGAGAGGUGAGUGGAACUGCGAGUGUAGAGGUGAAAUUCGUAGAUAUUCGCAAGAACACCAGUGGCGAAGGCGGCUCACUGGCCCGGUACUGACGCUGAGGUGCGAAAGCGUGGGGAGCAAACGGG
rnacentral:rRNA from 1 species